rnacentral:rRNA from 1 species
AGGACGAACGCUGGCGGCGUGCUUAACACAUGCAAGUCGAGCGGAAAGGCCCUUCGGGGUACUCGAGCGGCGAACGGGUGAGUAACACGUGAGCAAUCUGCCCUUAGCUUCGGGAUAGCUCCGGGAAACCGGAAUUAAUACCGAAUAUGACUUCGGCCGACAUCGGCCUUGGUGGAAAGUUUUUCGGCUAGGGAUGAACUCGCGGCCUAUCAGCUUGUUGGUGGGGUAAUGGCCUACCAAGGCGACGACGGGUAGCCGGCCUGAGAGGGCGACCGGCCACACUGGGACUGAGACACGGCCCAGACUCCUACGGGAGGCAGCAGUGGGGAAUAUUGCGCAAUGGGCGAAAGCCUGACGCAGCGACGCCGCGUGGGGGAUGAAGGCCUUCGGGUUGUAAACCCCUUUCAGCAGGGACGAAGCGAAGUGACGGUACCUGCAGAAGAAGCGCCGGCUACUACGUGCCAGCAGCCGC